rnacentral:misc_RNA from 1 species
CGACAAUUGCUUUUACUGCAUAUAAUAUGUCUUCUUUCGGCACAUAACCCAGUGGCUCACCUAGACGAGGGAAAGUUGUCUCCAUUCUGUGUGUUCUUCCCAUGCCACCUCCUACAUAAAGAUUAAAGCCUUGAGGUUCUCCGUCAUUGUCAGUAACUACUACAACACCAAUAUCAUUCGUCAAAAUAUCGACUGAGUUGUCUGUGGGCACAGUCACCGCGACCUUGAACUUCCGAGGCAAGAACUGAGUGCCAUAAAUGGGCUCCGGAGAGUCUACAAAAUUUGUACCAUGAGAGUUGUCAUUACGGGCUUCCACG